rnacentral:lncRNA from 12 species
AUGCAACUUUCCUGCGUGGUGGCUGGGACACUUGUUAGGCACUUGUGGGCUGGGGAUGGUUCCCGUUCACUGCGCGAACCUGCGACUCAAAGCCGUGUCCCGGCUGGAAUGCGCGGGCGGUGCAGACGCUGCUGCCACCACCCGCGGCUCGUACGGGACAUUGCCCUGCGUGCCGAGGAAAGGUUGAGUCUGCCUUGCUCUCAGGUACCGGCUUCCAUGUGCAAGACAACAUAUGAGGAGCUCAGUGUGGGACCCUUAAAGCAGAUUGUGACAUAGACUUUGGCUGUAUUUUUCACAACUGCUGAAGCUAGAAAUCCAAGCGGAUGCCUGUGCCACCACCGCCGCCACCACCUCCUCCUCCACCACCUCCACCACCUUCUGGAGGGCCCCCUCCACCACCACCACCACUGGUAAGACUGACUUUUAUUUCUAUGGGCAAAAGCUUAGCUGUAGCAGCCACCUUAGAGCCCACAGGAUUUUGGCAUGGAUAUUCAUAGCAAAUAUCUGAGGCAGAUGUUUGUUUUGCUGGCGCUGGUUCUUCUGUUCAUUACAGCAGUGGUCUCCAAAGUGGGGUGUGUGGGAUGAUCCGUUGGUGUGUGGGAUAAAAAUACUGGAACCUCAGUCAUACAUGUGUAUACUUUAUAAAGAAAUAAACCUAUGUAUAUU